UUYACCCGARGGUAGUGCGCUAACCCGCAAGGGAGGCAGCYAACCACGGUGGGAUCAGCGACUGGGGUGAAGUCGUAACAAGGUAGCCGUAGGUGAACCUGCAGAAGGAUCA
rnacentral:rRNA from 1 species